UGUGUGUGUAUGUGUGUAUGUGUGUGUGUGUAUAUCUGUGUGUGCCUGUGUGUGUAUAUGUGUGUAUAUGUGUGUGUAUGUGUAUGUGUGUAUGCGUAUGUGUGACAUAUGUGUGAGACAGACCAGAGAGAGGGGGGGGAAGCACUUUUCAAAAAUAAGUACCAUUUAAUAUAAUGCAGCUGUAAAAUCUGGCAAGAGCAGGCGGUCCUGUUGCCCUUUAAGGCGCCCUUCCUGUGGAUGUCCCUCCAAAGGAGAAGUUGGUGACUUACCUCAUUACCUCAGCAUCCAUCUUAUCACUUCAUCUACAGGGACCGCCUCACGUAUGCGGCUGUAUUCCUCAGAUAUCCUGAAACUUUGGCCAAUAUCGUAAGCACCUUAACCCCUGGCUACUCAGUUGUAAGCACUUUUAGAUCACAU
rnacentral:lncRNA from 1 species